AUGUUCCCUGGAUCGGUGGCUUGUGAAAUCUGGUUGGAUCGGAUAGGAGUAAAUUAUAAUAAAAAUGUAAUUGUCGAACCAGGUGUAUACCAUGUUCUCGGGAUCGGUGGUAUGUUCCUUUGGGGAGACAAACAAAAAAAUAAUAAAAAUUGGUGGAGCCAGGUGUAUACCAUGUUCUCGGGAUCGGUGGUAUGUUCCUUCGGUGAGACUAAUAAAAUAAUAUGUGUGUUUCUUUCAAAUUCAAUAAGUGGUUCAACCACAAAUUCUUUUUGUUCUUGGGAUCAUGCUCUCUUUAGGAACCAUUUGGCGCAGUCAUCAUUUAAACUUGUUGAUCCUCUUUUAUCAUUGUAA
rnacentral:rRNA from 1 species